CGCGGCCCAUUAGCUUGUUGGUGAGGUAACGGCUCACCAAGGCGACGAUGGGUAGCCGAGCUGAGAGGCUGAUCGGCCACACUGGGACUGAGACACGGCCCAGACUCCUACGGGAGGCAGCAGUGGGGAAUUUUGCGCAAUGGGCGAAAGCCUGACGCAGCAACGCCGCGUGCGGGAUGAAGGCCUUCGGGUUGUAAACCGCUUUCAGCAGGGAUGAAAAUGACAGUACCUGCAGAAGAAGCCCCGGCUAACUACGUGCCAGCAGCCGCGGUAAUACGUAGGGGGCAAGCGUUAUCCGGAUUCAUUGGGCGUAAAGAGCGCGUAGGCGGCUUGUUAAGCGAGAUGUGAAAUCCGGGGGCUUAACCCGCGGCUUGCAUCUCGAACUGGCAGGCUUGAGUUUGGUAGAGGAGUGUGGAAUUCCCAGUGUAGCGGUGAAAUGCGCAGAUAUUGGGAGGAACACCAGUGGCGAAGGCGGCACUCUGGGCCAUAACUGACGCUGAGGCGCGAAAGCUAGGGGAGCGAACAGGAUUAGAUACCCUGGUAGUCCUAGCCGUAAACGAUGGGCACUAGGUGUGGGGGGUAUAACUCCCUCCGUGCCGCAGCUAACGCAUUAAGUGCCCCGCCUGGGGAGUACGGCCGCAAGGCUAAAACUCAAAGGAAUUGGACGGGGGGCCCGCACAAGCAGCGGAGCAUGUGGCUUAAUUCGAAGCAACGCGAAGAACCUUUACCAGGUCUUGACAUUCAUGUGAAGCGGCGGAACGCCGUGGCCCAAAGGAGCCUGAACAAGGUGGUGCACGCUUGUCG
rnacentral:rRNA from 1 species